CAGCUGAGAUCUGGGUAGACCCAGGCAGCCAGGAGUGCUUGGCACAGGCCACCUGCCAGCUCGAUGAGCAACAUAACUUGGGAGUGGGUACCACUGCUGAGCUUGCCAGAGGGACGAAGCAGAGCGGGGAGGAGAGUCCUCCUUGUGGCUGGACACCACUGAGAACUGCUGCACUAACACUGUUAGAGGAGCUUGGUCAUCAUCCCAUUGGCAUCCAUUCCCAGAUCUUCCAAUAUGCGCUUGAUAGUCACAGACUGUUCUUCCAAUUUGUCAGUGGACUUCCAAUCUCUCUCAGAACUCUGUGACACGAGUAAAGGCACGGUGUUCUGAACAAAGGAGACAGCAGACAAGAGGCCAAGGUGUGAGAGAGGGAGACGGCUCCACAAGAUCACUACAGCAUGGAAUUCUGCAUAGAACUACUUUAGAGUUGGCUUCUUGCUUUGACACACCUCCCAUAAGGCUUAGCUGUGCUUGGCUGGUUCUUCCAGCUUCCAGACCUUUUGCUGCUCAGCCUGCAGACCUUAGCAACACUCACUGAACUAAAGCCCUGCUUGGAGUUUCCCUGGUUUCCCAAGGACGUCAAGCUGAUGCUUCAGAAUGGCUGUGAAUGGAAGGACACUUCAAGUAGAAACUCUUUGACUUAAAAUUAUGAAAACAGAACAAUCAGAGUGAAAACACAGGUCACAACAAGGGAGAUUCAAGGGCCACGCUUGGACUCGUCUUCUCUCAGGCAGUAACACCAGCUGGAUGCUGCCUUACAGACAGAGUGUUGCCUGGGAGGGUGUGAUGCAGACUGUAUUGGUUAAUGGUCAUGUGCUGUUUUAACUCACUGAGAAGCAGGUUCUAGAACCAGAGAUGCCCUCGCUCCACUUCAGACUCAAGGCCUCUUCUGUGAGGAUGGGUCAGCAUCCCUAACUCUAUAACAGGGAAGGAAGAGAACGGCAGAACAGCACAAGAGUAAGACAGUGAGCCAUAGUAGUAAACGGAAUACUAUCAUUUAUCCUGUUUUAUAAAAGCCCCUGCAAUGGGCACACACAAAAUAAAAAACUGAACCCUGA